GCAAAAGAAGACUUUGGCACUUAUUCUUACCAUUACAUUUCAUAUUAAUUCUUAUUAAGAAUUGGUACCCAACAAUCACAAUAACGUGAUUUACAUUUCAUACAUGACAACGUGAGUUCCAACAUUGUGAAAGCGUGGUAUAAAUUUCCUCAAUAAUAAUACACAGAUUUUGGCGCAUCACUUCGAUCUCGUUAUUCCAUUUUGUCGUGUUGUUGAAUCCGAAUUUUCUUCAAAGUAAAGUAAAGUGGAAGAAGAGUACUUCUUUGCAUAUAAGGUAAGAAUUCCUCUCUCCAAGAUGUAUUUGAUUUAUCCAAGUCGUAUCUACAUUGCUAGAUGAAAGAAAUACGAAAAUUAUAUUGGAAAUCGGAUAAAUAUAUUUCCACGUAAAUAAUGGAGAGUUGCAGCAAGUGGGUGGUCUUCAUACAUAUGAGGUGAUGUGGCAACAUGUAUUGAUGAGAAUUUUGUGUGUGCGUCAAAGGGCACCACGUGUAGAACACAAGAUAUACAUCAACUUUGAAUCAUUAUCUUAUAUGACUAAGAAGUCAUUUGAAGCAUAUGUUUUGUAUAACAUUAUUUUGUAUUGAGCAGCUUAUGAUUUACUCUUGAGGAAGCAACAAUAUUUUGUUCUCUUCUUAUUAAGGAGACAGAUUGCGUUUCUUUUAACAAAAGAAAGAUAUGAAGUGAUACGAUUGAGGUAAGCUCAAAAGACGACAUAAAGGUUAUAUCCAUGUCAUUUUCCUCCGAGUGAUAAUAAAUUGGAGAUUUCUUCGAAGUGAAGUAAGAUUGAGGAAGAGUAGUUCUUGGCAUAUAAGACCGUGGAGCCAAUACGAGUUGAGUUCUUGAGCCGUUGAGCUAAGACCAGGUACAAACCCUCAGCUUGGCUACCCUCCGGCUUAGGAUUUCUGCCUAACUGUUUGGCUCCAUUGUCCCGGAGCUGGAGCUGUUUUGGUACAGAUCUUCUUAUAUAGACUUUGUCAUACUCCUAGAGGUCUGUAGACAUGUGUGGGUUAUGUAUAUGGUUUGGUCAGCUAUACAGAUGUAGUUCGUUUUGGAUAUUCCCG